rnacentral:rRNA from 1 species
GACGAACGCUGGCGGCGUGCUUAACACAUGCAAGUCGAACGCUGAAGCUUGGUGCUUGCACUGGGUGGAUGAGUAGCGAACGGGUGAGUAAUACGUGAGUAACCUGCCCUUGGCUCUGGGAUAAGCCUGGGAAACUGGGUCUAAUACUGGAUACGACAUGUCACCGCAUGGUGGUGUGUGGAAAGGGUUUUACUGGUUUUGGAUGGGCUCACGGCCUAUCAGCUUGUUGGUGGGGUAAUGGCUCACCAAGGCGACGACGGGUAGCCGGCCUGAGAGGGUGACCGGCCACACUGGGACUGAGACACGGCCCAGACUCCUACGGGAGGCAGCAGUGGGGAAUAUUGCACAAUGGGCGGAAGCCUGAUGCAGCGACGCCGCGUGAGGGAUGACGGCCUUCGGGUUGUAAACCUCCUUCAGCACGGAAGAAGCGAAAGUGACGGUACGUGCAGAAGAAGCGCCGGCUAACUACGUG